rnacentral:ncRNA from 12 species
CUUCUUGUCUGCUGUUAAGGUUUCACGUGAAACCGCACGCAGGGAAUCCGGUGAGACUCCGGAGCUGGCGCGCAACGGUGUGGCCCCCACCCGACAGUAGGCCGGGGUGCCGAGCCCGAUCGCUGCUGUGGUGACGCCACCCAUC